rnacentral:rRNA from 1 species
GGAGGGUCCAAGCGUUAUCCGGAAUCAUUGGGGUUUAAAGGGGUCCGUAGGCGGGCAAUUAAGUCAGAGGUGAAAUCCCACAGCUCAACUGUGGGAACUGCCUUUGAUACUGGUUGUCUUGAGUUAUAGUGAAGUAGAUAGAAUAUGUAGUGUAGCGGUGAAAUGCAUAGAUAUUACAUAGAAUACCGAUUGCGAAGGCAGUCUACUAACUGUAUACUGACGCUAAUGGACGAAAGCGUGGGGAGCGAACAGGAUUAGAUACCCUGGUAGUCCACGCCGUAAACGAUGGUCACUAGUUGUUGGGGCUUUAUGCUUCAGUGAUUAAGAGAAAUUGAUAAGUGACCCACCUGGGGAGUACGAUCGCAAAGAUUG